UUGAUGAACUGGCGGCAGGCCUAACACAUGCAAGUCGAGCGGUAGCACAGGAGAGCUUGCUCUCCGGGUGACGAGCGGCGGACGGGUGAGUAAUGUCUGGGAAACUGCCUGAUGGAGGGGGAUAACUACUGGAAACGGUAGCUAAUACCGCAUAACGUCGCAAGACCAAAGUGGGGGACCUUCGGGCCUCAUGCCAUCAGAUGUGCCCAGAUGGGAUUAGCUAGUAGGUGGGGUAAUGGCUCACCUAGGCGACGAUCCCUAGCUGGUCUGAGAGGAUGACCAGCCACACUGGAACUGAGACACGGUCCAGACUCCUACGGGAGGCAGCAGUGGGGAAUAUUGCACAAUGGGCGCAAGCCUGAUGCAGCCAUGCCGCGUGUAUGAAGAAGGCCUUCGGGUUGUAAAGUACUUUCAGCGAGGAGGAAGGCAUUAAGGUUAAUAACCUUAGUGAUUGACGUUACUCGCAGAAGAAGCACCGGCUAACUCCGUGCCAGCAGCCGCGGUAAUACGGAGGGUGCAAGCGUUAAUCGGAAUUACUGGGCGUAAAGCGCACGCAGGCGGUUUGUUAAGUCAGAUGUGAAAUCCCCGGGCUCAACCUGGGAACUGCAUUUGAAACUGGCAAGCUUGAGUCUUGUAGAGGGGGGUAGAAUUCCAGGUGUAGCGGUGAAAUGCGUAGAGAUCUGGAGGAAUACCGGUGGCGAAGGCGGCCCCCUGGACAAAGACUGACGCUCA
rnacentral:rRNA from 1 species